rnacentral:rRNA from 1 species
GGGUCAGUAGGUUGGUCAUGCCACUGGUAUGUACUGGUCUCACUGAUUCCUCCUUCCUGAUGAGCUGUAAUGCCAUUAAUUUGGUGUUGCGGGGAAUCUGGACUGUUACUUUGAAAAAAUUAGAGUGUUCAAAGCAGGCCUAUGCCCGAAUACAUUAGCAUGGAAUAAUAGAAUAGGACGUGCGGUUCUAUUUUGUUGGUUUCUAGAGUCGCCGUA